AAUGCCAUUGUCAUCAAAAAUGUAUUCACAACUCCAGUUAUUGCAACUCUUUCCACAUACAAUCAGCACAGAAAUUUUUGUAAGCCUCAUGGAUGUCACCAGAAAUAGCUUCUACAUGAGCUGUUAAUGGUGAUUAAAAUCUCAUCUACAUUUUUCUUUUAAAACUAGUAUCUGCUUUGAUUGGGAGAGACAAAAAUUGUUCUGAUGAAACUGUUCAUUUUGUGAAGCUCUGGUAUGGGAAGAUAUCAUUCAGCCUUUUAUUUAAAUGGCAAGUAGUAAGCAUUUUCUUCAAUAGUAGUCUUAGGAAGAGUUAGUUGGAAUAGCUGUAUAUCAUAGCCAUUAUGGCAUGUGACAAUACUACUCAAGAAAUGUAACAAUAUUCCUAAUAGCUCACAUUUUCACAUAUAUCACCUUGUCAGUUCUAAUUCGUUCUCCCAAUAGGUAUUUAUUGUGUAAAUCAUAUAUUUCAAACUUUGUAUUAGGCUCCGAGGAAAUGGAUAAAAUACAGCUCCUGCCCUGAAAGGAAUGACAGAUGUGUAAACACUCCUUUUCAGCACAGCAUGGCAGGUACCACAAUAGCAGUGAGAACAAGGAACUAUGGGGGCACUCAGAAUGCAUACUUAACCCAAUCUUAGCAGGGAAACGGGGUAUUUCUUUCCUGUUCAUUUUGCAAAGUGAACUGAAUGAAAAAGUCAACUCUUUCUUGGUAAUCUCUUUUAGGCUAAAAUCUGAGAAGUGAGAAGAAGUAUUCUAUGCAGGAGGUACUUUUUUUUUCAAUUCUUAGGACUAGAGUAGCACUAUUAAGAGCAAUUAAUGGCUGAUGAGUAUUAGCAGCUGAUUUGUAUAUUUGCCUUGGGCUAGGCAUUGUAUUAAGCACUGAAUAUGGAAUAUCUUAUACAGCAAACCUAUGAGGUAAAUUUGAUUGCCUUUGCCUACAUACAAGGAAAGUAAGACUUAAAUUUUAUAACUUUCCCCAUCAACCUCACACAGCUCAAAAUAAUGAGUCCGGGAAACCAACUUGGCCUGUGCUUUGGUUCUUUAAGCUGUUUCCAAAUAGUGCUUCCAAAUACCCACUUAGUCUCAGUAGGCUUUCUUUUUUAAAGACUCUGUCCAAAACUCUUCAAACUCUUCCCUCUUCUUUUAUUAUUUUCCUUAAAUUUUAUCUUGUCCAGUUCUAAAAGCAUCAAAGGCACAAUUAAAAACUCUCAACCUAUAUGGCACUUUAUGUAUAUCAUUUGAGUAGUUUUCCACUGUUGCCAAGGACAGAGGAGGAAUCACCUUGUCAUAACAAAAAGCCAGUGGUAUAGAAAUGGGCUUUCUCUAUAGUAUGCCCAGACUUCAAUUAUCCUGUGUCUUUCUCCUGUCCUGCAACUAUCAGGAGUAAGAGUGGAAAGAAUUCCAUAUUCUUGACUUAAUUCAACUGCAACAGCAUAUCUCAGGAGAUUUGCAGAUUCUCCUAAAUGUUAGGUGCAACAGAAAUCCUGAGAUGGGAAUAGACAAAUAGGUCCUGGGAAACAAGUGGCAGAAAAAUACAGGAAUGAUUUGAAGGGAUAUCCCCAUUCCUGUUCACAUGUGCAGCCCCAGUUGCUCAUUAAGUGAUUAAAAAGUCGUUUCUUAUAACAAAUUUGGUAGAGGCAACCUUGUUGACAAGAUUCUAAGUUUUGGAGUGGGAGCAACUGGGAACUGAAUCUUUGUUCUGUAAGUUAUUUCCUGUCUAUAGAUGAUUUACGAAAUGGGUCUGAGUCUAGUUUCUCUUGCCAGCAGAGUAAGGAUAAAAAGAAUUGCCCACAAGGUUUUCAAGAACAUUAGAUUAAAACAUUUAUGGAAACUGCUGAGCAUGGGACCUGGAGACUACUGGGUAAAUAAGAGUCCGCAUAGCUAUUAGGUUUAGGAUUAUAGUGUCUGAUGAAGAGUAACAAUCCAAGACAUUUUUCAACUGUAGGUUUUAAAAACUUAUAGCUUCAUAACUCCCCUGUAAUAUUCCUGCUCAUAUUGAUUGUUUUCAAAUGGAAAUAUUUUUAAAGAUCUUUUCUUAGUCUCAUUCCUUGAGUUGAACCAACGUGAAUGCUCUAUUCACUAAGGACUUUCAAUGUUUGAUGCUAAUAUAAGAAUCUGAAAUGAGAGUCUUAGAGAAUUUAUGGCUAAAUGAGUUAAGGGCACAUAAAAGCUCAAAAUGAUUUGUUCAAGGAAGAAUAGCUACUCUUUCUCAUUCGCCUCAUUCAGGGGGUGAACUGCUCCUUCUCUUCCUCUUCAUCCCCCACAUCCUAAACAGAUUUCCUGAAAGACCUUCUGGUUAAGUUCUCAUCCCCUUGGCAAGGCAACUUGUGUGCUGAGCCAGUCAGCUGUCUCAUUGAGAUUCACUGCCAGGUGGACAGCUUUGAUGGCAAGGAGGUGGCGUUCCGCCCAGUUAAGCAGCUUUCAAGCCUCAAGCCAUAAAGAUGAGCUCCUGGCCCUCCUUCCUCCAGGAGGAUACUGCAGACAUAUUGCCUGCCCUUGGAAGUAUGGCUUUCCUGUGGUGCAAAUCAUUGAGCUGUGCAGAGCACCUUACUUACUGCUCGCUCCUCAGAGCACUGGAGACAGAGACCUUGUCCAGUUUCUUGCGUCAGCUUUUCUCUGUUAAAGAUGCUGUUCAAGUAAUUAACUUGAGUUCGAAGCAAGCAAUAAGUACGUUAGGGGAAUUUUUUUUUCCCCAGGAAAAGCUGAUUUUUCUAUUCACCAGAAAAAAAGACAUGUAGGAAAUAAAAGAUCCCACAUUUCUGAAUGAAACAUCCUCUUCAAUAGACCUUGCAUAAAUUUUCAGCUAAAUAAACCAAUAGCUAUUACACUUGAGUUAUGAUGUUACCAUUUCAUCUGUACUUUAUAGACAUGAACCUGAGAACAAAAGACAGUCGUAUGUUCAGCAUGAUACCUUAAAACUGAAACUCUCUUCUACAUGUGUCUUCACAUCACAUACUGAAUACGUGUCCAUUAAAAAUACAGAUAAUUAAGAGGAAGGGGAAAUUACUCAAUAAAUCACCAAUCAAAGAGAAGCACAAUGGAGGAGACCUGUUUAGAUGGCUCACCCACAAAGAACAGGCAGUUGCGGAUUUUGCAAUGAGGACUUGUUGGGCAUGGAAAAUGCCACACUUUCACCAACUCGCUGCCUCUCAUAACUACAAGUGAGAGAAGUUUUCAAGGCCACUUCAGGCCUUGCCGUGCUUAUGCAAGAGUUUGGUGAGUGAAGCCUGCCAAUGUCCAACAUUCAUCUGGAAAAUCUAAGAGGCAGAGGUGAGUCAUCCAGCUGUGCAACUACUGAAACAAAAGCGAUGAGUUGCCACACUGGGGUUAGCUGCAUGCCCAGAGUGUGUCAAGCUGAAAGAUGUGUGAAUAUUUACUGGGGGCGGAGGGUAGAUCCAGCCGAACUUGACACCUUUUAAAUCCUGCCCAAGUGCACACCCUACAAAGGGCUCUGGGCCCCUGAUAGAGACAGCCAAUGUGGAGGACCAUGGGCAAACAGGAGGAGGAGCAGCUGAAAGCAAGUGGAUUGACUACAUCAUGAGCUAUUCAGUCAAACCGGGCUCCAAAAAGAAACAACAUAGGCACACACAUGUCCAAAAAUGAGUGAGUCUUCCAAGCUGAGAAAAUGUGCUGCUACCUAAUAGGAGCACCAGUGAGGUUCUAAAUUUAAAUACUAAGAAAGAGAAGAAAUACCAGUUUGAAAACAGCCCCUAUUGAAGAAAUUUUGAUAAAAUUCAAGCAAGAACUGACAUAAAAUUUAUGCUGAAGCUUGGAUGGAAGAGUGAUGAUCACUGACAUUUUACAAGAAGUUUAUGAAGACAACACCAGAAAGAAAUCUUCAAUUUACAAAUAGUUCAUUCAUUUCAAGAAAGGAAAACAGACCAUGUUGAAUAUGAAGUCCACAGCAGCAGACCAUGUACAUCAAUUUGCUAAGAAAAAAUUAAUCUUGUUAGCACCUUAAUUAAAGAGGACAAAUAAGGAGCCAGUGUUGCAGCACAGUGAAUUGAGGCACCACUUGGAAUGCUGCAUUCCAUGUCAGAAUGUCAUGAGUCCAAGCUGCUCUACUUUCCAUCUAGUUUCCUACUAAUGUGCUUUUGAGGCAAUGGGGAAUAGCCAAAGCUCUUGGGCCUCUGCAACCCAUGCAGGAAACUUGGAUAGAGUUCCUGGCUCUUGGCUUUGGCCAGACCAAGUCCCAACUAUUGCACCAUUUGUGAAGCAGGUCAGCUCUCCCUCUCCCCUCUCCCCUCUCCCCUCUCCCUCUCCCCUCUCCUCUCUCUCCUCUCCCUGUUCCUUUCUGUCUCUGCCUCUAAUUCUAGCUUUCAAAUAAAUACAUAGAUAAAUUUUCAAGAAAAAAAGACCAAUAGUUGACAGUAGAAACAGUAACCAAUAUCAUCAAUAAAUAUUUGAACAAGGAGGAAUAGACAACCUGAAGCAUGCCUUUGAAGAAUUGUGAUAGGAGAUGAAAUGUGGCUUUACCAUUAUCCUGAAGUCAAAGCACAAUCAAAGCAACGGUUACCAGGAAAGCAAAAGAACCACUCAAGAGCAAAGGCCAUAGAAAGUUUUUGGGAUAUUCAAGUCAUUUUCCUUGCUGACUUUCUGGAAGACAAAAGUUCAAUAUCAGCUGAUUAUUAGGAAAAUAUUUAGAGAAAGUUAGCCAUAUAUAGUCAGCAGAAAACUACCCAGGAAUACUUUUCCAGAAUAUCCUUCUCCACUACAAGAAUAUUUCUGAUUAUUUUUCUCAUCAAGUGAAGGCAAGUAAUUCAGUUUUGAAGGGAAAUCCAUAGGCUUCUACCUUAAAGUCCUGAUUUGUCAGCUUCUGGCUUUUUUGAUCUAUCCUCAUCUGAAUCCAUUUUUCUUCCAUUAAUAAAGUAAAAAGACUCCACUGAAAUGGUUAAAUUACCAGGACACUCAGUUCUUAAGGGAUGGACUAAAUGAUUGAUAUGAUUGCUUGUAGGUGCCUUGACCAGUUGGAGCUUAUGUUGAGAACAAAAGUAACUUUUAGCUUUUAAUUUUAUUUUCCAUGAAACUUUUAAAGUCCCCUUGUAUGUUGCACAUGCUUGUAAAACCUGGCAUAAUCAGGGGUCAGCAUUGUGGGUAAAAUGACCACCUGUGACUCUGGCAUCCCAUAUGGGCACCAGUUCAUGUCCUGGCUGCUUGACUUCAGAUCCAGCUCCCCACUAAUGAAAAGCACUGGAAGAUGGUCCAAGUGUUUGGGUACUUGCAUCCCCAUGGGAGACCUGGGUGAAGUGCCUGUCUCCAGGCUUUAGCAUGGCCAGUGUUGUCCAUUGAGACCAUUUGGGAAGUGAACCAGCAGAUAGAAGAUCUCUCUCUCUCUCUCUCUCUCUCUCUUUCCCUCUUUUUCUCUCUGCCUUUCAAUAUAAAGAAAUGACUGAAUCUUGGGAAAAAAAAACUUGGCACAAUCAUGGGGACACUGAGAUGCUUCAAAUUUACCUCAAAACAGAUAUUUUGACAAAGAUGUAUGUGAUUUAAUUUCCUUCUUUCCAUUGCAAUGUUUUCCCCAUGAUACGUUUGAUGUCUUCCCUUUACUUAAACUAUAUACACCAUGAGAAAUAAUACAGGCAUUAACAAGAAACAUAAAAACAAUAAAUCUGAAUAUGGGAUCUUUUUUCUCCAUUCAGAACAAUUUGUCUGAAGCAGUCCCAUUCAUAGUUUUAAAUUUUGGAUAGGAGUUGUUUUCUUAUGGAGCAGCUACUCCACACAAGAAUGCAAUCUCUGCAGAAGAAACAUGGUGUAGAUGCUUGUAAACUGCCAUUGUGACUAACUUAGAUCCAUUUCUGUCUUUCCCAGAGUUUAAUAGUGACAAGUAACAGAUGUACCAAUGUUUUGAGUGAGUAUAGUUUAUUACUGGAUGGCUCAAUUUAAACUGGAAAUGCACAAAGGUUCUAGCAAAUCGUAUUUUACCUAAAGAAGAAAAGCAAGAAUACAAAAUGUCUUCAAGUAGUUCAUGGAAAAUGUAUAUUAUGAAAACAUCUGCAUGAAUUUUGAAAUGUUUUGAACUGAGAUAAACUCACCUUUAAAUUCCUUUUUCCAUGCACUUUUAGAAGCACGCUCCUAUAGAUCAAUUAGAGCUAGAAACAUCCAUGGAUUUCAGACAUCCAUUUAUGGAGCAGGACGUGUUUAGCAUAAGUCAACUAAUUCUGAUUGAGUACCCACCUUUUUCAGCUUACCCCAGCAGAGCUAACCUAGAGAAUUUCACUUUUUCUACUUGUAAAUGGGAAUAGUGGUACCUACCACAGCAAUGGAACUAGUAAAAUUAAAUAGGUAAAGGUAUUUAAACAUUCUGGAACAAUUCCAUCUAUAGCAACAUUUCAGUUCCCCAUCUUACCAUCCCUUUUACUGUUGAUCCUAGGUCUCACCACAACCUGAAAACACUUCAUUUAUUUACAUAUUCCUUCAUUGUUUUGCUUCACUAUCCAGAACAUAAGAUCCAACAGAACAGCACCCUUACUUGUCAUAUGUCAAGACUUUCCUGCUGAUAGGAGGCACUCAAUAUGAGCAAAAUUUGUUAGAUAUUUAGUAGGAGAUCAACAAAUGAAUAUAGGCACCUAGGGGAAAAAUAUCCAUUCAUUUGAAGUCUAUUUUCUGGAUAGUUGUCUCUCUAUAUAUAUUUAGAAUAAAUCAUUUUGUCUGAGAUGUCAUAAUCCUCAUUUACAUAUAUAUGUAUAUAAAUAUAUGAAUGUAUAAAAAUUAAAUAUUUUACCCAAUGCCAUAGCACUAGAUAAUGGCAGUCUUGGAAAUUGAACCCACAAACUCACACCCAGUUUAUGUUUCUUCCAUUACAGCACAGCUGCCUACUCACUAAUUUUCUCUUCUCAAGAGAUGACCGUCAUUCUUCCUUACCAUACCCUGUUUUAGAGUCUACUUAAUAGCUGGUAACUUCACCCAUCCUUUCCAAUGUUUCUACAAUGCUCUUUCCAGCCCACAAUUGCCAAUUCUGUCUGCCCAGGCCUGAGGUAACCAAGCAUGGCUCUCAAACUCUGAGCUUGUAAUACAAUUGUCUCAAUGCUAUAAUUUCUAGGAACUGGUUACUCAGCAUUCUCAGAAUUCCUCAUUUAAUUCAUUAUUUAAAAAUCAGAUACUCUGGGUUCUAAUUCCCACAGGGUUAAAGCCCCCAAGAGAAACCCUGUGGAUUUUAUUCCACUUUAUAGGAAAGACUUGGAGGCCACACGUGAGCCAACUGCAGAUGGACUCCACACGCGAGCUGUGCCAUUUAAGGGUGACUGCAGUGGGCAAGGGCUUCCAACCCAAGCUGCUGAAAUGGGGCCUCGGGAGUCUUUGGCAGUGUUAAUUACUGACUCCUCUUGGCCUGCCAGCCAGGCUUCUCCACGGAAGGCCUCGCCAUGUGGAAUUUGCUCCUGGUGGCACUCCCUCUGAGCCCACAUUUGGCAGCAAGCAGGCGACAUUUUAAAAGAUGUUUUUAUUUGCUUUAGUGUUUGGUUUGUUCCCCCCCUUCACUCUGACACUUUGGGACUGAAAUAUGGUUUUUGCAUUUGUGGCAGAGUUCCACAAAGUUCCUGGAUCCCGUGUUUAAUGGGAUGGCUGCCCGAGGGGAGCGCACAACUGGAAGCACUGACCUGGGUUUUAUUGUUAGGGGUCUGUGCCCGGGUAUCUAUCCUAUGAACAGCACAAGAAAGGGCAUGAGACAACUUCCUGACCCCCUAAGUCACUAACCCACUAUGGUUCUACAGCCCUGCUACACAGGACAUACUCCAUAUCCAUACAAAGUCUUGGUAUUAUAUAUUUCUUUUAAGAACGCAAGCAAAAGGGAGCCUUGGUUGGGACAGAGCACUUUUGUGAUGAUUUCUUGAAAGAAAAGUCUCCACAUUGUUUUUAUGCUUUAUUUAACUUGAUCCUUCAGUUACAGCAACAUAAGCAGCUUUGCUAUGAAACAAUGCAAGUCAUACUCAGAAAGCUGUAAUAUGCCGUUCAUUAGAAUGGCUCUCUUAGCUUCUACUGUGUGUGUCCUCUUGCUCCACCGUAAGGCCUGAGGGAGUAAAAAAGAGCCAAGCCACUAAAAUAGCUGUGAUAGAAAGCACUGUGGUCAUAGGGCCAAUGCCAACACCAAGGGCACGCACCAACUGAAAUGCAGAUGUUCGAUUUGGCAAUGUGACAUGGCAUGUGGGUCUUUCAGAGUCAAUGAACCAAAGAGGAUGACGACGAGGGUUUUCAUCUUCCAGAACUUGAGCCCAUAAUUCCAAUUGCUAGAUUGAAUUCUUUCCCUUCAGAAGAUUAACUUAGCCAGUUGUUAUGGACUCACACGGAGAGAGUACUUUAUUCUUUUUCUUCAUUUUGGUACCAUAAUGUUUUCAGUGGGAGCAAAAGAAAAGUACACGUCGAGGCACAGAUAGAUUCUCCGGCUCAUCUGAAGUGCAGCCGCUGGGGGAAAUCCCCUUAGAGCAAGUGGGUGGAAAGUUGUUUUUUCUUGAGGAUCAUGAUCUAAGUUUCUAAUUUUUAAAAAUCCCAAGCUUAUUGUUUCUACAGCUUGUAUUUUCUGACACCUAAGUUAAUAAACCACUCCCCUCAAAGUUCAGCACUGUGUUGAAUCGGAUCCCUACAGAAUUCAUAUGUGGAAGUCCUAACAGCCAGCAUUUAUGAAUGUGAUCUUAUUUUGGCAACAGGAUCAUUCCAAAUGUAAUUAGUUAAAUUAAGAUGAGGUCAUAGUCCAGUAGAAUGUGCCUCCUAUCCAAUAUGUUGGGUGUCAUUGUUAAAGGGGAAAUUUGGAGCAGAGACAUUUACACAGGAAGAACACUCUGAGAAGAUUGAUGCUCUUAAUUCAUAGAGGGAAACCAAGAUGUCAAGGAGCAAUAUCCCUGGAAGGAGGCUCUGUGAUAGAACCUGGUGUGCACACUCACCUUGCUCUUAGAAGGAGAUAAGGCAGAAGAGAAGCUGAGAGGUAGUGUGGUAGCAGCAGGAGGAUGAAACGAUGACCACCACUUGCAGCCCCAGAACGAGCUGCAGUGAUUGGAAGUCUAGUUUGUCUCAUCAAUUUCCUGUCACCUUCCUAAGGAAAAUAAACCAACCAUUAUCCUGAGGGAAUCUUCCCCAGUUUGGGUGACAUUUCCAUUGAGGUUAUAACCACCCACAAGGUGCAAGGAUGGGUUAUAAUUGAGGCUGUGGUUGUUACCCAAUCCUCUCUUUAAAUUUCUUCGGAUGUUGGGCACGAUGAUUGCUAAAAGCUCAUUCAUAACUGAGUUCCUCCUCCUUCAUUUCCCCUGACCAAAGAGAGCUACCUCACUUUAGUACACAUAUUUAGGGGACAGCUUGCACCUGAGAAGCUCAAAGGAAUCAAGCAGCAGUAAUAACUCAAAGUUGAAUAUUUUUGUUGUUUCCUCUGAUGGUAACAUUCCCUAUCUUAGGUUUAAGAGCUCUAGAUCUUCAAAGUCAGAGUUGUAGAUAGAGAAAUCAUAAAUUAUCCAAAUAGAUCUAGAAGAAUAAUUAGGGCUGACCCUAGUAUCACUUUUCUUUUUGAUCCAGGUAUUUUACCUGCUGGAAACAUAAUACCAUGCAAUGGCCACUGAUUUAGGUACCACUCCUGGGGGAUGGCGUCCCCUCCUUGUUGCAUCUUCUCUAAGUUGGAACCUCAGCUACUCUUUUAAAAUGCCAUUCCUCUGGUAUGUCAGGCCAGCAGCUUCUGGGAAGUAAGGUAAAUGUUAAAAUGUGUGGAUUCACAGCCAUACAUUCACAGUGACCCCUUCUGUACUGAAAAGAUCUCUUGGUCUAAUGUGAUAUUGUGUAUGAAUUUGUGUUGGUGAAUCAAAGGUCCUUGGAUAACAGUCUCAAAUGAGGACCAGAGAGCAAGAAAACCAUAUCCAUACUCAGAAUAUAUUGAUUCCAGAAAAAAAGAUAAGUUAUUAUUCCUUCUAAGAUAGAAAGAGUCUGUGUUAAUCAGCUUAUGCAGUGGUUGGUUGAUCUCCUCAGGGCUGUUGCCACAUAGGGGCUCACUCUUGGUUUCCAUCAUUUGUAGGUUGGCUAAUCAGCAGCAGUUCCUAAGUCAGCUUUCAUAAGUGCAAGCCUAUAGUUUGAAUCAUAUGUAGCCUCAUUCCCCACCAUCAUAGCUACUCUAUUCAUCAUCAAUUCUGUAAGCACUGAUCUAUCUGGUGAAUCAGACCCAUCCUCAGAUGUAUUACAUAUUAUACAUCUUAUGACUUGGUACAUCUGGCAGAACCCAAAUUAUGUUUGGAAGUUCUGAUCAUUAUGCUACCAUAGCAGUAGUAUGUUAGGAGCUAUUACAUGAUUUUCUGGUGAAAAUGGUAUAGCUUUGCUCUGGAAUAUAUGGAUCUAUACUAUGUUUCUCUAAUUAUGGCUUGCCAAAACUUUGUGUAGCAUAAUUUUCUACCAUCAUUAUCUCUGUUAUAAUACCAUAUACUCUGUAUAAUACCAUAGUGUCUGUCAGGUCUUGUGGUCCAAGCAGGAGGACCAUUUGCAUUGCAGCCUAGACCUGUUAAAGAACUCUGCUGAGAUGUCGCACACACAGCUGGCUGCUUUCUUUACCAUUUGAUUAAUGGGUUGGACUAGUUUUUCCAGUGUGAAAUAAAAGAAUACAUCGCUUCAUAAAUUCCCAGGAAUUCUCGGGUGAGAGGUCCAAGAGGCAAUAAUUUUCCCUUUAGUUAAGAAGUGAGCCCUUCCAUACCUCACUGAUGUCUAAAACCUGAUGAUGUGUCUCCAAAAUCUUCAUAGAGUUUUCUCCUGUUAGAAUUUAGGUGGCUUACCAAAAUAUCUAGCAUGCCUGCAGUUUCUUGUUCCUCUGGUUUGAUCAAUGUUAUGUCUCUGAUAGAGCAGGCUAUAGCAAUGUUCCACAGAAUGUCCAGAUCACACAUACCACUUAGGAAUGUGUCAUGAAAGAAAGUGGGAGAGUUAACACAGUUGUGAGGCAAGACUACAAAUACAUACUCUUGUCUCUUAUAUGUGAAGGUAAAUUACUUCUAAUUUUCCUUCCCAAUAUAGUUAAAAAAUGAAUGCAUUAUCCAGCUCACUGGCUGACCAGUGUGUUCCUAAGGCUAUGUUCUUACAAGCUUGUGAAGACACCAUAGCUGACAAAGCAACCACAAUUGAAGCUACUACUUGGUUGAGUGUUUAGUAGUCUAUUCUCAUUCUCCUGGAUACACCUGAAAUUUGUAGUGGCAAGACUGAUAAAUUAAAUAGUAAAAUGAUGUGGAACACCAUUUUGCAUACUGUAGACCCCAAAGGGUAGCACUAAGCUCUGUCACUUUGCCAGGGUGCAAUCUUAUUUUUUAUUCCCUAUAUCAGUUGGUGUAAAGGGGAAUUUUCAAAAGCUUCCACAUUGCCCUUCUUGGGGUCCCUCAAGUCAAGAAAUCAAUGUGGAGAAUCCUCCAAUCAUCAAGAGUGUUCAUUCCAAUUAUACAUUUGGAGUCCAAGAAAAUGAUUAUUGUGUGGUUACCUAGUGGUAGUUUCUAGUGGGUUAUUGAGAGUCAAACCUUGGUCAGGACUACAUUUAUUUUUAACUUUGCUACCAAAUGUUUGUUCUCACAGGACAGUCAAGAUGGCACUGUCCCCAGGUACCAAUGUCAACUUAGACCUUGUGUGCACAGCAUUUGAAAUGUCUGGAUGUUCCCUUUUCCCAAAUUCGUGGCUACCAAAGAAUUCAAUUGAGUCUCCUUGAGGAUAAAGUUGAUAAUCCCUAUAUACUUGUUACGAACGUCCUUCCUGGAGACUUGGACUCUUUUCCAUUAUGUGGAUUGUGAGACUGAACACUAAAUCAACAGAAAAUUUGAAGAAACUUCACUAAGAUAUAAAUUAUCGACAUGGAAGAGAAUUCUGCUUCGAUAACUUGAAAAAUAAAUUGAUCUUCAAAUAAAACUUCAGAAGUUAUUCUUAGAAGCUAUAAAAUAUUCCGCCUGGAGAGACGCAUUAUGGCAUAAGGGGUUGAGUCACCACUAGCAAUGCUGGCAUCACAUUUCAGCAUGCCAGUUCAAGUCCCAGCUACUUCACUUCCAAUCCAGCUCCCUGCUAAUGUGCCUGAGAAUGCGUCAGAUGAUGGCUCAAAUGCUUGGGACCCUGACACACACAGAGGGGACAAGAUUGAGUUCUUGGUCCUUGACUUUGUCUUGUCCCUGCCCUGGACCUGCUCUGAAUGUUGCAGGCACUUGGAGAGUGAGCAAGCAAAUAAAAGUUCUCCCUCUCUCCCUCUCUCCUUUUCUCCCUCUCCCUCCUCUCUGCCUUUUAGUAGAUGAAAAUAAAUAAUACAUUUUUUAAAAAUGUCCUGUAUUUGUGCUUGAUUACUUGAAAGUACUAUAAUGGAAGCAAACAUGUUUGGAUUAACCUAAGACUUAGGUAGAAAUGUUAUAGGGGCCUGCACCAUGGCCCAGUAGGUUAAUCCUCCGCCUGUGGCAUCGGCAUCUCAUAUGGGCACCAGUUCCAGUCCUGGAUGCUCCUCUUCCGAUCCAGCUCUCUGCUAUGGACUGGGAAAUAAGUAGACGAUGGCCCAAGUGCUUGGGCCCUGAACCCGCAUGGGAAACCAGGAGGAGGCACCUGGCUCCUGGUAUCAGAUUGGCAUAGCUCCAGCCAUUGCAGCCAUUUGGGGAGUGAACAAGCAGAUGGAAGAUCUGUCUCUCUGUCUCUCCCUCUCAUUGUCUAUAACUCUACCUCUCAAAUAAAUAAAUAAAUAAAUAAUGUGAAUGCUUAUCAUAAAUAAAAUAAAUUAAAUCAUUAAAUAAAUUGAUUUAAGUUUACUUAUAGCUUAAAGAGACAGAAAAGUAUACUUAGAACACAGAAAAUUAAUAUAAUAAAUAUCUUUUUCUGAAUGUUUUCAAGUUGAUAAUGGUCCAAAUUUAAAAACUCUACAUGAAAAGUUUCACCUGAUGUUCUCAAAAGUUUUAAUAUGACUUAAACUUUAUUUUUAGAAGUGAGCACUCAUCACUUGAGAGGGAUUUCAAGUAUUCUCUUAACUUUUACUGAUUGCAGAAAUGAUAUGGCACUCUCUGUAAGUGGGUUAGAUACUUCUCUUUUGCCCAAACACAAGAAGUGUGAGAAUGAUGUACUCUAUCAUAAUUAUAUAUUACUGUUGACUAAUAGAGUAUGACUGGGCCCUUUACCAACAGCUUUAACUGUAUGUAUUAAACAUUUCAAAAUGGAUCUUUGGGAGAGAAUAUUUUUACUCUAUAAGAAAUCCCUAUUACAUAAUGUAAUUCAGUGAUGUAACUUUCAAAAAGAAUAAAACAUACAAUAAAUACCAAGAAUUAGAGCAAUUAAAGCUCUGGCACCAACAUUUGUCAUAAUUAUUUAACCAAAACCAAUUUGUACUAGGAGUCUCGUAGACAUUUUUCCCAAAGCUUUCUCCACUCAUUACCCCAUUUUCUCACACUAUUCUAAUAAAGUUAAGACAUAGUCUGGCUUUGGUCUUUUUCUCUUUGCAUUUUAAAACUUUCUGUUUUAUUCACAUUCCCAUAUCUAUAAUUCCAACCCAUCCUUCUUUUCUAAACUCUAACCAAUACAAGUCUGAUUGCCCACUGAGGAUGAUCUUGACUCCUUUCUACUUAUCCUCUGAAUCAGGCAAAUUUCCAGUACCUCUUAAUUCCCUCAGACAUAUCUUUAUAACCCAUUCCCUAUUCUACAUCCUCACCACUUGCUUCUCAACUUUGGUUUGGAUUACU